CAGCAGCCACGGGAAUACGUAGGUGGCAAGCGUUGUCCGGAAUUAUUGGGCGUAAAGGGCUCGCAGGCGGUUUCUUAAGUCUGAUGUGAAAGCCCCCGGCUCAACCGGGGAGGGUCAUUGGAAACUGGGAAACUUGAGUGCAGAAGAGGAGAGUGGAAUUCCACGUGUAGCGGUGAAAUGCGUAGAGAUGUGGAGGAACACCAGUGGCGAAGGCGACUCUCUGGUCUGUAACCGACGCUGAGGAGCGAAAGCGUGGGGAGCGAACAGGAUUAGAUACCCCAGUAGUCCCUGUCUCUUAUAC
rnacentral:rRNA from 1 species